CAGUAGCCGCGGUAAUACGGAAGGUCCAGGCGUUAUCCGGAUUUAUUGGGUUUAAAGGGAGCGUAGGCUGGAGAUUAAGUGUGUUGUGAAAUGUAGACGCUCAACGUCUGACUUGCAGCGCAUACUGGUUUCCUUGAGUACGCACAACGUUGGCGGAAUUCGUCGUGUAGCGGUGAAAUGCUUAGAUAUGACGAAGAACUCCGAUUGCGAAGGCAGCUGACGGGAGCGCAACUGACGCUUAAGCUCGAAGGUGCGGGUAUCAAACAGGAUUAGAUACCCCGGUAGUCCCUGUCUCUUAUAU
rnacentral:rRNA from 1 species